GUUUUAGAGCCUGUUUCCUUGUGUUCAUCUACGCUUGAGCGACACAGAGCUGUUUCAGCGAUUGAGAAAGCUAGGAAAUCGUACCUUUUUUAAAACAAACGAAAAUGCUGACUGCAAGUUGUCGAAAAUUUUUCUCAUUCAGCCAGGCUUAAAACACAUGGCCUAAAAGUUGAUGGCGUUCCUAUGGAGAUACGCCAGAAACGGCGAUAGUGUCAUUAUGGUAUGUGGGCGGUUUAAAAACGCAAAAAGCCAUCAUUAACCAUGCGUAAAUGUGAAAGGUGUAUAUCUAACGUCAGAAACAGUUUUAAUUUUUCUUAGUCGUUUCACUACGAUGGAUACAUUCAAGCUGGCCAGAAUAAUUAUCGUCGGGAACUCUCAGGGUCAAGAACUCGUCGCGUGAUCGAGGAUCCUCUCGCAGUACUCCCACCAUGCAACUGGUCACAGUCUUGCUACUUGGCUUCUGCACCCCUCGCAUGACCAUACACAUGUGUCUAAGACAUUCAAUGAAAGAAAUAGUAAGCUCAUCACUGCAUCAUACUUACGUGGCUUCAAUAACCACCCCCACACCAGCUGGAUUGACAGCUUCAGUUAAAGCCAUGGCAAUCUGUUUUGUUAAACGUUCUUGAACUAAAAGAAAAAGGGAA